ACAGUGUCUAGAUCAGUCAGGGAUGUGUGUGCAGCUCUGUGCCAGUUCAAAGACCAUGUACUUAAGUGGCCUUCCCUGGAGGAAAGUCAACGAGGGAAGACAAUUUUUUUUUGCCAUAUCUGGCUUUCCCUCGGUCAUUGGGGCAGUGGAUGGCACCCACAUCAAAUUGCAGGAUGAGCCAUCGUAUGUAAACAGGAAAGGAUAUAAAUGUGCAAGGUGUGUGUGAUGCUGAUGGCAAGUUCCUGAACAUUAAUGCUGCAUGGCCUGGCUGUUCACAUGAUGCCCAUGUCUUCAGAAACUCUCAGGUUUGCCUGCAACUUGAGCAGCACCAACAUUGGGAGAAUGGGGUCCUUUUAGGGGAUUCUGCCGACCUUUCCUCCUAACCCCGUAGCUUAACCCCCAGAACGCUCAACAACAGCGUUACAACGUGGCUCACGCAAGGACAAGGAGCAUGCACUAUUGAAAGGACGUUUGGGAGAUGGAAAAGAUGCUUCCAUGUCUUUCACUCAGAGAUUUGCAUGAAACCUGAGAGGGUGGUGAAGGUGAUUGUUGCCUGUGCGGUACUUAACAACAUUACCAUCACCUUGCAGGAGCCUGUAAUGGAUGAGGAUAUCAACCAUAUGCAAGCUGGGGAUGAUGUCUAUGAAGGACCCCAGGUUGGCCGUACUGUCAGGGACCCCAUAUCUAGGACUUUUUUUAACUUCUAGUUAUAUGUCUGAUAUGUAAGGAAAAAUUGGGGGCGCGUGGAGUGCCCCUUCUCCAUGAAGGUGAAAGAUAGUUAGGGGGCAUGCGGAGUGCCCCUACUCCAUGAAGGUGAAAGAUAGUUAGGGGGCGCGAGGAGUGCCCCUACUCCAUGUAGGUGAAAGAUAGUUAAGGGGUGCCUGGAGUGCCCCUACUCCAUGUAGGUGAAAGAUAGUUAGGGGGCGCGCGGAGUGCCCCUACUCCAUGUGGGUGAAAGAUAGUUGGGGGGCGCGCGGAGUGCCCCUACUCCAUGUAGAUGAAAGAAAGUUAGGGGGCGUGCGGAGUGCGCCAACUUGAUGUAGGUGAAACAACUAACCUUGAAUUGCUUUCAAGUUUAGAGGGGACAAAUGUGUUGAACAAUCCAAACAACCUCUUCUUAAGAACUAUAAGUCCAAGACUCCUGAUACUUCAGCAUGAUAGGGCCAAAUACAAUCAAGUAUAAAUGACCAUAAUCCACUUUCAAGGUCACAUGAUAGACAACUUCCGAUGACUAAUUUUACGUGUACAUAUAUAUAUAUGUGGAUAACAGUCAGGGAAAUUUGAUUCGUGACUUUGCUUGCUGGGUUACGUGCUAUUAUGUUAGGUCAAGUGAAUGACCUUGACUUAUGUUGAAGCUCAAAGAUGUCAAAUGUUUUAAACAUUUCAGACAACUUCUACAAAACCACGAGGCUCUAAAUCAGAUCAGUUUAAAUACUACAUAUAUAAUGUAUUAUUCAAGGUCUCAAGGAUCAGAUAAGUUUUUAAGAUUUUUUUUAAAUGUAUUGCACACUGAGCCUUCAAUUUUGCUAUGACAUAUUCCAGGGGUGUAAAGAGCGAAAGUGAGCGUAACCCCUGGAUAUGGAGGAUGGAGUGGAACCUUCUUGAUUAUAACUGAUGCAGUGGUACCCUUAACCCUUUCGCCACUGUAGACCACAAUUGACUCAUCCAAAUCAAUGCAUGGAAGAGUUUAUUGAAGUUACAUAGGGGUGAAAGGGUUAACUUUAAGUGAUGUGCUGUAUGCUUAUAUCAGACAUAGUCAUGCUCAGACUCCAGGCUUAAAGCCAUCGGGCCUGUUUAAGGUAGCCCGGGCCAACCCGGGGUUAAUAGUCAUAACAUUUAUAAACAUUUAUUGUUUUAAAUACAUUCAUUAUUCACAAAAACAACAAUAAAAACAUAC
rnacentral:lncRNA from 1 species